UAUGUGCGCGAUGUUCGCAUCGCACGCGUAAUGUGAAGACGUGGGAUCGUUCCCCACCUGCGACAAGUUGUUUAUUCAUCCUCUUUAUAUUUCAUUAAUUAUUCAUUACUUUAAUUCAAUUAAUGAGCACAAGUAAUUUCCCCUAUGUUUCCUUAGUGUCUAUGUUUGCUGGGUUCCUAUGAUAUAUAUAUAUAUAUAUAUAUAUAUAUA
rnacentral:lncRNA from 1 species